UACGUAGGAUGCAAGCGUUGUCCGGAUUUACUGGGCGUAAAGGGCGCGCAGGCGGCACUACAAGUACUGGGUGAAAUCUCCCUGCUCACGGGACGGGUGGCUUAGUAGACUGUAGAGCUAGAGGUGGGUAGAGGGUGUGGAAUUGCUGGUGUAGCGGUGAAAUGCGUAGAUAUCAGGAGGAACACCGGUGGUGUAAACGGCUUUCUGGACCAUAACUGACGCUGAGGCACGAAAGCGUGGGUAGCAAACAGG
rnacentral:rRNA from 1 species